UGUCAAAAAAAUAUCAAGAAAUAUCCUUCUGGAUUGUACAUGUAAGUUAAUUAUAGGAUUGUGCGUCCUGUGACGUCACUGAGCCAAGUACGCUGUUAUUUUGAAAAGAGAAAAAAGAGGGAGGAAAAUAUGUUACAUGUAUUUCCUCGCAAUUUAGUCAGGACCAAACCAUCGCACUUUUCAACAACAAAAUAAUGCUUUGAAACAAACAAAAUCAAAAUCGUCCGAGCUGAAAUUUUGACAGGUGUCUUUUGAUAGCCUGCUUCAUGUUCAUUGUAUUGUUGUUCCUGGAAUCGACAUCAACUUUUUUGUGUGUGGGCUAGUCCUAAUUCAAUUUGGGGUACAAGUAACUACAUGUACAUGUAUGCUCUAUGCUACAUGAAUGUACAUGUACAUUGUAUAACAUGCAGGUGACAAGAGUUACAUAAAUCAGUCAGCGCGCAGCGUGCUCGAUAAUGAGGCACACAGCGAAGUUUUAUUUGCAGCGAGUUGUACGGUCUCGGACCUUCGAGAAUUCACGAGGUUUCGCGAGCGUUCGGCAGUGCCCCUGGAAGAUCGACGAGAAACCCGUUUUCGCGGCAGUGUUGGGCCAACAUGGAGGGGUCAAGUACGAAGAGUGAUUUACCCAUUUUCCCUGUCAAGACGGUUGGACACAACAUCCGCACUGGAAGAUGAACAUGACCAAUUUUAAUGGAACUCUAUUAUUUUACCAUGGAUUGAACUUUCCAAUUUUUGUGGUACAACCGGAUUUUGCAUGUUUAAUUCAAUGACGUGUGAUCAACAACUCACAAACUGACGAAUCAGGUGACGGGGAUUCUUACGCCAUGUCGCAUGGAAUAUUGCAUGUAUUGUUCGUUGAUAAAAAAACCUGAGGAAUAAGCACUUUCAUGGUACAUUUAAUAUGCGCCAUCUUGUUCACAUAGCAAGAAGAACAAGCAUUGCUAGAUGCGGACACAUUUUGUAAUGUACACAUUUUGGAAUGAACGCAUGAUGACUUGGAAGCACAAAAGGUUUUGUUUGAUGACGUGUAGACUGCAACGCAUGUAAAUUUGCCCGGUAAGAAAAAUGACGCAUUAC